rnacentral:lncRNA from 1 species
AAGGAAUGGUACCAGCUCUUCUUUGUACCUCUAGUAGAAUUCGGCUCUGAAUUUGGUUCCACUCUCCCCAUCACUUUCAGGUACACCAACCAAAGACAUUGUUGUCUUUGGGACCAAUACAUUUCUUCUAUCUGCAUAUCUGGGUAGAAGCUCUCAUGGAAGAAAAAAGAAAAGCCCCAUAGGUGAAGGGGAGUGUGCCUGCCAAGUUCCUUGUAAUAACUUCACACGCAGAGUAUUUUCUGAAAUGGAUCUGCUAGAGUCAUCUCAUGGAAUCUUCUCAUUCUUCUGGAGUCUCCUCAUUUUACAGGAAAAACAUCCAGGCAAGUGGACAGCAUUUGCAACAGCCCAGCAAUAAGAAGGACCAUAUUCUACUUGGGAAAAGGUAAAGUCGUUUCAUAUGGACGGAGCCUGCCAGGAAACCUGUCAUUCAACCCUUUGCAAUAAAACAGCUCCUCAUGAAUGAAGCAAAAUAAAUCAGAAGUUGUGGGCUUUUAAACUCACUAAAUGAAAGCACAGCAUGCAUGCAGCCUCCCUCCAAAUUAAUCACCAGAUUAAAUGCAAGAUGUGCACACCAAAUCAAUAGCUUGUGACGGGGACCUCCUGCCUGUGCUUCAGGAAAAUUCCAUUUCCUUUCAGAUGUUGUCGCUUGAAAUGUCAGGAAGUUUCCAUUCAUCACCCGCCCUUGAAAAUGCCACCAUCACCAUACUUCAUGUUUCCUUGCUUUCUUUCUUCAGAGGAAUCCAAGCACCUUGCAGAGGGAGCCCACUCCUUGUCACAG